rnacentral:rRNA from 1 species
AUACGGAGGGUGCAAGCGUUAUCCGGAAUUACUGGGCGUAAAGCGCACGCAGGUGGCUAGGUUAGUCGGAUGUGAAAGCCCCGGGCUCAACCUGGGAAUUGCAUUCGAAACUGCAUGACUAGAGUCUGAUAGAGGGAAGUGGAAUUUCCGGUGUAGCGGUGAAAUGCGUAGAUAUCGGAAGGAACAUCAGUGGCGAAGGCGGCUUCCUGGAUUAAGACUGACACUAAGGUGCGAAAGCGUGGGGAGCAAACAGGAUUAGAUACCCUGGUAGUCC